CGGCGGACGGGUGGAGUAACACGUGGGUAACCGUACCUAUAAUACUGUGGAUAACUUCGGGAAACCGGAGCUAAUACCGGAUAAUAUUUCGAACCGCAUGGUUCGAUAGUGAAAGGUGGUUUUGCUAUCACUUAUAGAUGGACCCGCGCCGUAUUAGCUAGUUGGUAAGGUAACGGCUUACCAAGGCGACGAUACGUAGCCGACCUGAGAGGGUGAUCGGCCACACUGGAACUGAGACACGGUCCAGACUCCUACGGGAGGCAGCAGAC
rnacentral:rRNA from 1 species